rnacentral:rRNA from 1 species
AGAGUUUGAUCCUGGCUCAGGACGAACGCUGGCGGCGUGCCUAAUACAUGCAAGUAGAACGCUGAAGAGAGGAGCUUGCUCUUCUUGGAUGAGUUGCGAACGGGUGAGUAACGCGUAGGUAACCUGCCUUGUAGCGGGGGAUAACUAUUGGAAACGAUAGCUAAUACCGCAUAACAAUGGAUGACACAUGUCAUUUAUUUGAAAGGGGCAAUUGCUCCACUACAAGAUGGACCUGCGUUGUAUUAGCUAGUAGGUGAGGUAAUGGCUCACCUAGGCGACGAUACAUAGCCGACCUGAGAGGGUGAUCGGCCACACUGGGACUGAGACACGGCCCAGACUCCUACGGGAGGCAGCAGUAGGGAAUCUUCGGCAAUGGGGGCAACCCUGACCGAGCAACGCCGCGUGAGUGAAGAAGGUUUUCGGAUCGUAAAGCUCUGUUGUAAGUCAAGAACGGGUGUGAGAGUGGAAAGUUCACACUGUGACGGUAGCUUACCAGAAAGGGACGGCUAACUACGUGCCAGCAGCCGCGGUAAUACGUAGGUCCCGAGCGUUGUCCGGAUUUAUUGGGCGUAAAGCGAGCGCAGGCGGUUUGAUAAGUCUGAAGUUAAAGGCUGUGGCUCAACCAUAGUUCGCUUUGGAAACUGUCAAACUUGAGUGCAGAAGGGGAGAGUGGAAUUCCAUGUGUAGCGGUGAAAUGCGUAGAUAUAUGGAGGAACACCGGUGGCGAAAGCGGCUCUCUGGUCUGUAACUGGCGCUGAGGCUCGAAAGCGUGGGGAGCGAACAGGAUUAGAUACCCUGGUAGUCCACGCCGUAAACGAUGAGUGCUAGGUGUUGGAUCCUUUCCGGGAUUCAGUGCCGCAGCUAACGCAUUAAGCACUCCGCCUGGGGAGUACGACCGCAAGGUUGAAACUCAAAGGAAUUGACGGGGGCCCGCACAAGCGGUGGAGCAUGUGGUUUAAUUCGAAGCAACGCGAAGAACCUUACCAGGUCUUGACAUCCCGAUGCUAUUUCUAGAGAUAGAAAGUUACUUCGGUACAUCGGUGACAGGUGGUGCAUGGUUGUCGUCAGCUCGUGUCGUGAGAUGUUGGGUUAAGUCCCGCAACGAGCGCAACCCCUAUUGUUAGUUGCCAUCAUUCAGUUGGGCACUCUAGCGAGACUGCCGGUAAUAAACCGGAGGGAGGUGGGGAUGACGUCAAAUCAUCAUGCCCCUUAUGACCUGGGCUACACACGUGCUACAAUGGUUGGUACAACGAGUUGCGAGUCGGUGACGGCGAGCUAAUCUCUUAAAGCCAAUCUCAGUUCGGAUUGUAGGCUGCAACUCGCCUACAUGAAGUCGGAAUCGCUAGUAAUCGCGGAUCAGCACGCCGCGGUGAAUACGUUCCCGGGCCUUGUACACACCGCCCGUCACACCACGAGAGUUUGUAACACCCGAAGUCGGUGAGGUAACCUUUUGGAGCCAGCCGCCUAAGGUGGGACAGAUGAUUGGGGUGAAGUCGUAACAAGGUA